UCUGCAAUGUUGUACAUAAGUAGAUAGAACAUGGUUUGGUAUAGUAAUUACUAAGUUGAAUGAAAUUAUUAAUUAAAAUUGGCGGUGAAAAUUUCCCCCAUGACAAAUUUUUUCUAUUUUUUGCCCUCCAUUUAAUUGUAUUGAUCAGGAGACAGAUUCAUACAUAUUCAAAGGUAAUUCCUUUAACAAUAUUACUGAAUUGUUUUACUGAGUUCCUUCUUAUCCAAUCUUCUUGGCUGGCAAAUUACUAUUAAUAUUGAUGUGCUAUGUUGGGUACAAUUACUAAAUCAGGAUUGGCCCUUGAGUGUAGUGGUUUGCUGGUGACUCCAGCGGCUCUAUCUUGUUUCUGUGCAUAAGCAACUCUUCUUCAUAAAUGCCAAUCAUAACAUUCAAAACUUAAUUGGCCUAAACAAACUGCGACCCAAAGUAAUGAACCUUAUGCCUAUACCACAUGCCACUGAUCGUGGAAUGGGAUGACACCGAUCCAAAUUUUAAGAUUUCUGUCUACCUAUUCCAAUAGAUUACAAUACAUACCUUCAAAAUCUAACUUGCCAUUGUACAGUUGUUCCAAUUUUUAUUCUAAUAGAUGAUUUAGAUAUGUAUGCAUUACACAGUUUUGAGAAUUAAUAUAGUCUAAUAUAGAUUGAAUCAUAUAAGAGAUAAAG
rnacentral:misc_RNA from 1 species